AAGUCGUAACAAGGUUUCCGUAGGUGAACCUGCGGAAGGAUCAUUAAUGAAUUUGGGUGCUCUUCGAGAGGCCCGACCUUCAUCCUUCUACCCUGUGCACUAUUCAUUGUAGUCUGUUGAGGUGUAAUGCCUCAUAUACAACAGCUACAAUCAUUUUUUAACACCACAGGUCUAAGAAUGUUACAAAUAUAUAAAUCAAAUAAAA
rnacentral:misc_RNA from 1 species